rnacentral:rRNA from 1 species
GGUUGCUCCAGAAGUAGAUAGCUUAACCUUCGGGAGGGCGUUUACCACGGAGUGAUUCAUGACUGGGGUGAAGUCGUAACAAGGUAACCGUAGGGGAACCUGCGGUUGGAUCACCUCCUUACCUUAA